rnacentral:rRNA from 1 species
AUUGACCGCUGGCGGCAGGCCUAACACAUGCAAGUCGAGCGGAGCGGCGGACGGGUGAGUAAUGCCUAGGAAUCUGCCUGGUAGUGGGGGAUAACGUCCGGAAACGGGCGCUAAUAUCGCAUACUAUAAGAUGAGCCUAGGUCGGAUACGCUAGUUGGUGGGGUAACGGCCUACCAAGGCGACGAUCCGUAACUGGUCUGAGAGGAUGAUCAGUCACACUGGAAGUGAUAAACGGUCCAGACUCCUACGGGAGGCAGCAGUGGGGAAGUUUUGAAAAGGGGGGAAACCCUGAUCCAGCCAUCCCGCGUGUAUGAUGAAGGCCUUCGGGUUGUAAAGUACUUUGGGCAGAGAAGCGGUAUCUGCAGAAUAAGCACCGGCUAACUACGUGCCAGCAGCCGCGGUAAUUC